GAUGAAGAACGUAGCGAAAUGCGAUAAGUAAUAUGAAUUGCAGAAUUCAGUGAAUCAUCGAAUCUUUGAACGCACAUUGCGCCCGCCAGUAUUCUGGCGGGCAUGCCUGUCCGAGCGUCAUUUCAACCAUCAAGCCCCGGGCUUGUGUUGGGGACCUGCGUCCGACGCAGGCCCUGAAAACCAGUGGCGGGCUCGCUGUCCACACCGAGCGUAGUAACUAACCUCGCUAUGGAGUGGCGCGGGCGCCUGCCGUAAAACCCCCAAUUUCACAAGGUUGACCUCGGAUCAGGUAGGAAUACCCGCUGAACUUAAGCAUAUCAAUAAGCGGAGGA
rnacentral:misc_RNA from 1 species